GGUUACGUCCUCAGCGAUUGGCCAGGACGGAGGGGUGCGUCCUCUAGGCACCUUUCUGAAUUCCGUUUUGCGUGUGCAAAAUUUAGAUAACGGGUAUUCCGCCGGCUGGGGAGCAUGGUGUGAUCAUGGCUCACUGCAACCUCGAACUCCUGGCCUCAAGCAAUCCUCCCACCUCAGCCUCCUGAGUUGUUGAGACUACAGGCGCACGCCACUGCACCCAGGUAAUUUUUUUUUUGUAGAGACGAGGUCUCGCUUUGUUGCCCAGGCUGUUCUCAAAUUCCUGGCCUCAAGAGAUCUGCCUGCCUCCGGCUUCCAAAGUGCUGAGAUUACAGGGGUGAGUCAGCAUGCCUGGCAGUUCUAAAAUUUUUCAAACACUACCUCCAGAAUUCACUGAUGUGCCAUUGCCCCUGUAUAUAAAACGUGAAGUGCAGCACACAAACAUUUUCUAAUAUAAGGUGUUCUUUUUUCAUGUCAAGAUGUGUAAAAAGUGGUCUCGGACUUGUUCCCAGUUGUUACCCCAAAAUUAUAGAAGACUAAACCAAAAUAGAAUGCCUUGUUGAUUUUAAAUAGGGGAUAGUUCUCAAAAAUUCAGUUAAUUCCUGAUAUUCUGGAAUGGCUCUAUAUAAAUAUCAAUGAUAGUAAAGACUUAAACUCAUCACAUAUUUUGCACUCUCUUAGUAGUCAAAAUCCUAGACACUGAAUUUUUUCUAGCAGGGUCAUAGCUUUGUACCUUUACUACCACUUGCUAUUAGUGUUUAGUUGUUGAAGCUAGAGACCUGACAUAGAUAAUGAAUUUCUCUUUUUAGCCUCAUAGACAGUUUCUUUUCUACAUUAAUGAACUUCAAGUCACAAUGUCGUAGUCUCCUCUCAAAGUUUUUCCCAUUUACAAUGAACCAGUUCUGCAUCUGAACCAUAACAACUAAUUUCCACUCUUCUGGACAUUUUAAACUCAUUUAACGUGUUAAAAGAAGAAGCAUCCUAAGAAAGUUAUAUAUUCUCCACCCAGAUAUAAGGAAAGAAAACACAAUAGUGGGGAGAAAAUUAAACCUUAUUUAUUUUUAAAACCAAACCACUAGGAAAAUAUAUCACAGCCUGGAAACAGCAAAUGGACAGGCUAUAUUAUAAUUUCAAGUAAUAAGUUGGUGAAAAUACAACGAAGUUGCUAUCAAAACAAUAAGGUGCCAUGCUGGGGCAGGAACACUGCUAGCUGCACAAGCCCCAGGCAAAAAUGGUAUUUGGUAAUGGGGGCUGCCUCUCCUUUGCUCUAAGGGAGUCAGCUCAUCCUAGCCCAAGUUGCUUACUUUUUCUCCCUUGAAUUUCCUGUUGCCAGGGGUUUGUCUCAAUUGGGCUCUGUUAAUUCAGGGGGCUAAGUAGGCAAUGCUAGGUGUAGGCUUUCAUUCCAUCUGUUCUAAUAAAACCAGGUUUUUCCAAAUCCAGUGCUUCUUUACUCUGUUGUCAUCAAGUAGCCAACUGCUCCUCUUUUACUGUUCAUUCCUAGAUACUAGUAUAUAGCACAGUCAAAACCCCCUUCUCUUCAAGGGGAAAGUGUUACUGCAAGAUUGUCCUGUCAUUUUGCUACACACAGCCUCAGGGCCCAUCAGCCAGUAAUUCUGCUUCCCACAAUUAGUGUGUCGUCACCUCUCAUGUUUCUGCAUGGUCUCCAGGCUGAAAGAUGCAGCAUGUAAUAAUUUUAAGAAAUGUACAUCCACAUCUUGAUGACCAGAAAUGGGGAUCCACAAGGAACAUUUCAAAGUUGUUAUCCAAACUAGUCUGCCUCCCAGUUCCACAUCUUAAAAUCAACUUG